AGGAGGGAUCUGAGUUCCCAAAGCAGAUUAGGGGCAGGGCAAAGGCACAGCAGAAGGUGAGUAGGUGCAGGUGUGCAGCUGUCCUCCACCCCUAUCUGCCUCAGACACGUUGCCCAUCAUCUUUGAAGUGUCGGACGACAGGCAGUGAUGGGGAAAGCAGUGUUGCCUGAGUGUGUCUAUCAUAGAUACCUGCUGGGUAAGAAAAACCAGUAGAGUACAUCUCCACCUCUCCUAAGUGGGGCACCUUCCCAGCAAGACACUUAAAGGCGUGUGCCUCUGCCCAGGCAUGGGUCACAUGCUGUCCUGCCAAUCUCACAAGGUUGCAAGAGAGGAAAAGACUCUGGUUCCCUGGCUCCCUGCCUCCUUACUGAAAAAGAUUGCGUAUGGAAGGCCUGCUGGGUCCCUUUGUGGCAUGAGACAAAGAGGGUUGUCUAGUUCCCCCUUACUUUGGCUGAAGUCCUAAGUCUGGGAGGGUCAGUUCUCAAAGCAGUAUGUUUGUAAUCUCUGCUUGGGCAAGAACAGCCUGGAGCUCUGCUGGAAGGGCCUGUGCAAAUUAGAGGUCAGAGGGAAAGGUCAUAACUGAAGCGUUGAACAUGGGGUUUGGGAUAGUGGCAAAUAUUUAAGUGAGGGGAAUAAGGCCAAUCAGAGGCUGUGCCCAAUUCUGGGGGACAUCUGCAGAGGAGCACACCUCAGGUGUAAUUUAAACAUAACAAAGUUGUUUUAUCGCUUAAGACAAGGAGUUUGAGGCCAGCCUGAGCAACAUAGUAAGAACCUGUCUCUGAAACAAAUUUUUAAAAAUCAGCCAGGUAUGGUGGUGCACACCUGUAGUCCCAGCUACUCGAAAGGCUGAAGUGGGAAGAUCGCUUGAGCCUGGGAGUUCACAGCUGCAGUGAGCCAUAAUUGCAUCACUGCAUUCCAGCCUGAGUGAUGGAGCAAGACUCUGUCUUAAAAAAACAAAAGAAAGUUGUUUCAAAUUAGGUACUGGCCCUUCUGAGGUAAUGGAGACACUGUGAGGAUCUGGAAGCUUUCUCUUCAUUAAUGAUUAUGAAUUGGAUGUACCCCUAGGGAUGGCUCUGGGCUGGCAGGGCCAGGGGAAAAGGCAGUAAAAGAAGACACUCUGCCUCCACUGGCUGUGGGACCUUGGGCCAAGUCACUUUUAAGAUCUCUUCCGGUUAUAAUGGAUGAUGAUCAGAAAUUUCUUUCAAGGUUAAUAUCAACGUUCUACUCAAGCACUCCUGACAGGUGUCCGCCAAGCUACUACUGGAUUUCCAGGGACAGGAAUGUUCCUCAUGCCACAGCUGUGGGCCCCAUGGCUGGAUGGUCCAUAUUGCUGUCAAGUGCUUUUCUUUUGUAGGACCUCCUAGAAUUAGCCCUACCCUUUUAUGAGAAAAUGCUUCAACCACAGAUGCAAACUCUUGUAUAUAGACACAGAGCUACUUGGUGUAGGGUGUGGGGUGAGGAAUGUGGGGUGAAGGUGGGGGGUAAAGGGUAGUCACAACAGCAGUGCCCCAGGCCACUUGUUUCCUUUUCUCCAAGCUCCGUCAGUUCACUUACAUCCAUGCUCUCUGCUUUCACAGUGUCCAAAUUCUAAGACAGCGGAAGCGUCUGUCUAAUCCACCAGACAGCACCCAGGUCCAGUGACACUUCCAGACAGGGCUCUGUGCCAAGGACAGUGUAAAAUGAUGGGGUAGAGCCACUCAACAGAACACUGUGGUCAGGAAUCUGAGAUGCAGACUGGAAAAAUGCUUUGUGCAAGAGCCUGUAGAGGAUUUGACAACUGAUCCGCAGAGAAGUCACAGCUCCCAGGAAACUUGUGCUUUGAGGAGGGAGGUGGCUGUCAACGGAGCGAACAAGAGGCCGUGUGAGUGGCAGCCACGGCCUAGUGGGUGGCGCACAGAGUCGAGAUCACGAGGCGUGGUCACUGAGCAGACAGGUGUAUCGGUGAGAGAACAGGUAUAAUUAGGAGUCAAUGAGCACAGCUGCCAGGCAGAAGAAGCGCUUAACUAUACAGUUGCUGCAAGUCGGAGCACCUGAUGCUGAGGGCUGGAGGAUGCUGGGGCACAGGAAGCCCUGUCAGUAGGUGGUCCGCACAAGGUCAGCCAACUGGGUCCAUGCCUUGGGGGGAUGCAAUGGAGAAAACCCUCAUAAACAAGUUAAUCUGCCUAGCUCAGAUCUCCGGCUCCUGGGAGGGCAACCCAAUCCUCAUUCUGUGUGUCUGGUUUAUCCUGAAGCCCGGCAAGAGGCUCAGGCUUGGUCUCCCCUGUCCUGUGCUCCCAGCCUGAGGAGAGGCCUAGAGCCCACCUAGGAGAUGGGACAAGGUCUGUGACAGAGGCAGCAGCAAAGGGCAAGGGGAAAGCCCUGCCCCAGCUGGCCCAGGUCCACUCCCAGAUUCAUAUGACUCCAUCAAGUCACCCAGGUGGACUGAGUGCCUGACGUUAAGUAGAGCACCAGCUGCAGUGGUUGGUUUCUGUGUGAAGCAGAGGGAGAGGUGACAGACAAGAGAACAGCAUGGUUCCCACAUUCAGCUCUUAAUCAGGAUCAUCGCAGGGCACUUGGUAAAAACAGCGAUUCCUGGACUCCACCCAGACCUACUGAAUUAUA